rnacentral:rRNA from 1 species
AUGAACGCUAGCUACAGGCUUAACACAUGCAAGUCGAGGGGCAGCAUGAGCUUAGCUUGCUAAGCUUGAUGGCGACCGGCGCACGGGUGAGUAACACGUAUCCAACCUCCCGCUUACUCAGGAAUAGCCUUUCGAAAGAAAGAUUAAUGCCUGAUGGUAUCUUAAGCACACAUGUAAUUAAGAUUAAAGAUUUAUCGGUAAGCGAUGGGGAUGCGUUCCAUUAGGUAGUAGGCGGGGUAACGGCCCACCUAGCCGACGAUGGAUAGGGGUUCUGAGAGGAAGGUCCCCCACAUUGGAACUGAGACACGGUCCAAACUCCUACGGGAGGCAGCAGUGAGGAAUAUUGGUCAAUGGGCGCGAGCCUGAACCAGCCAAGUAGCGUGAAGGAUGAAGGUCCUACGGAUUGUAAACUUCUUUUAUACGGGAAUAAAGUGGCCUACGUGUAGGCUUUUGCAUGUACCGUAUGAAUAAGCAUCGGCUAACUCCGUGCCAGCAGCCGCGGUAAUACGGAGGAUGCGAGCGUUAUCCGGAUUUAUUGGGUUUAAAGGGAGCGUAGACGGGGGAUUAAGUCAGUUGUGAAAGUUUGCGGCUCAACCGUAAAAUUGCAGUUGAUACUGGUUCCCUUGAGUGCAGUUGAGGCAGGCGGAAUUCGUGGUGUAGCGGUGAAAUGCAUAGAUAUCACGAAGAACCCCGAUUGCGAAGGCAGCCUGCUAAGCUGUAACUGACGUUGAGGCUCGAAAGUGUGGGUAUCAAACAGGAUUAGAUACCCUGGUAGUCCACACGGUAAACGAUGGAUACUCGCUGUUGGCGAUAUACUGUCAGCGGCCAAGCGAAAGCAUUAAGUAUCCCACCUGGGGAGUACGCCGGCAACGGUGAAACUCAAAGGAAUUGACGGGGGCCCGCACAAGCGGUGGAGCAUGUGGUUUAAUUCGAAGCAACGCGAAGAACCUUACCAAGUCUUGACAUCCUUCUGACCGGAACUUAACCGUUCCUUCCCUUCGGGACAGAAGAGACAGGUGGUGCAUGGUUGUCGUCAGCUCGUGCCGUGAGGUGUCGGCUUAAGUGCCAUAACGAGCGCAACCCUCGUGGCCAGUUACUAUCAGGUAAGGCUGAGGACUCUGGCCAGACUGCCAUCGUAAGAUGCGAGGAAGGUGGGGAUGACGUCAAAUCAGCACGGCCCUUACGUCCGGGGCUACACACGUGUUACAAUGGGAGGUACAGAAGGCAGCUACCCGGCGACGGGAUGCCAAUCCCGAAAGCCUCUCUCAGUUCGGACUGGAGUCUGCAACCCGACUCCACGAAGCUGGAUUCGCUAGUAAUCGCGCAUCAGCCACGGCGCGGUGAAUACGUUCCCGGGCCUUGUACACACCGCCCGUCAAGCCAUGAAAGCCGGGGGUACCUGAAGUGCGUAACCGCAAGGAGCGCCCUAGGGUAAAACCGGUAAUUGGGGCU